UACAGAGGUCUCAAGCGUUGUUCGGAUUCAUUGGGCGUAAAGGGUGCGUAGGCGGCGCGGUAAGUCGGGUGUGAAAUCUCGGAGCUUAACUCCGAAACUGCAUUCGAUACUGCCGUGCUUGAGGACUGGAGAGGAGACUGGAAUUUACGGUGUAGCGGUGAAAUGCGUAGAUAUCGUAAGGAGACCAGUGGCGAAGGCGGGUCUCUGGACAGUUCCUGACGCUGAGGCACGAAGGUCAGGGGAGCAAACGGG
rnacentral:rRNA from 1 species